AUUGAACGCUGGCGGCAGGCCUAACACAUGCAAGUCGAGCGGCAGCGGAAAGUAGCUUGCUACUUUGCCGGCGAGCGGCGGACGGGUGAGUAAUGUCUGGGAAACUGCCUGAUGGAGGGGGAUAACUACUGGAAACGGUAGCUAAUACCGCAUAACGUCGCAAGACCAAAGAGGGGGACCUUCGGGCCUCUUGCCAUCAGAUGUGCCCAGAUGGGAUUAGCUAGUAGGUGGGGUAACGGCUCACCUAGGCGACGAUCCCUAGCUGGUCUGGGAGGAUGACCAGCCACACUGGAACUGAGACACGGUCCAGACUCCUACGGGAGGCAGCAGUGGGGAAUAUUGCACAAUGGGCGCAAGCCUGAUGCAGCCAUGCCGCGUGUAUGAAGAAGGCCUUCGGGUUGUAAAGUACUUUCAGCGGGGAGGAAGGUGUUGAGGUUAAUAACCUCAGCAAUUGACGUUACCCGCAGAAGAAGCACCGGCUAACUCCGU
rnacentral:rRNA from 1 species